UACGUAGGGGGCAAGCGUUGUCCGGAAUCAUUGGGCGUAAAGCGCGUGUAGGCGGCCCGAUAAGUCCGCUGUGAAAGUCCAGGGCUCAACCCUGGAAUGCCGGUGGAUACUGUCGGGCUCGAGUCCGGAAGAGGCGAGUGGAAUUCCUGGUGUAGCGGUGAAAUGCGCAGAUAUCAGGAGGAACACCAGUGGCGAAGGCGACUUCCUGGCCUGUUCUUGACGCUGAGGCGCGAAAGCUAGGGGAGCAAACGGG
rnacentral:rRNA from 1 species